rnacentral:lncRNA from 1 species
GUGUAGAGAUCAUUUCAUAGUGACAGUAUUUUAGUCCAUUCAAAUCUGAAAUGCAUAGAGAGGUUAUUGAACAGGUGGUAUCAUAGAAAAACAAGCUAAAAGAAAGCAUGCGCUCCUAACUUGGAAAUGGGAUGAGGUCAUUGAUAUUACCCAAAGUGAUGAUUCGAAUGGUCAGAAAGAUGAUUUUAAGGCAAAACAACAAGAUGAUU